AACGAACGCUGGCGGCAUGCCUAACACAUGCAAGUCGAACGAGACCUUCGGGUUUAGUGGCGCACGGGUGCGUAACGCGUGGGAACCUGCACUUAUGUUCUGAAUAACUCCCCGAGAGGGGUGCUAAUAUCGGAUAAUGUCUUCGGACCAAAGAUUUAUCGGCUUUGGAUGGGCCCGCGUUGGAUUUGCUAGUUGGUAGGGUAAAAGCCUAUCAAGGCGACGAUCCAUAGCUGGUCUGGGAGGAUGAUCAGCCACACUGGGACUGGGACACGGCCCAGACUCCUACGGGAGGCAGGAGGGGGGAAUAAUUGAAAAGGGGGGAAAGGCUGAUCCAGCAAUGCCGGGGGAGGGAUGAAGGCCUUAGGGUUGGAAAGCUCUUUUACCCGGGAAGAUAAUGACAGUACCGGGAGAAUAAGCCCCGGCUAACUCCGUG
rnacentral:rRNA from 1 species